AGAAUAAACGCUGGCGGCGUGCCUAACACAUGCAAGUCGAGCGAGAAAGCUCCUUCGGGAGUGAGUACAGCGGCGAACGGGUGAGUAACGCGUGAGAAUUUACCCUUUGGUGAAGAAUACCCUCGAGAAAUCGAGGUUAAUACUGCAUAAGUCUUUUAAGAGAAAGGUGGCCUCUUUGCUACCGCCGAAGGAUAAGCUUGCGUACUAUUAGCUAGUUGGUGAGGUAAUGGCUCACCAAGGCGAUGAU
rnacentral:rRNA from 1 species